rnacentral:rRNA from 1 species
AGUAAUGGCGAACGAAAAGGGAACAGCUCAUAGCCGAAUCCGCGAUCGUGAGGUCGCGGAAAUGUGGCGUAUGGGAGGCGACUUUCAUUUCUAUUAAUUAGGUGUAAGUCCUCUUGAGAGAGGCACUUUCCCAGAGAGGGUGCUAGGCCCUUGAUGCCUAAUUUUAGAGAGGUUCUGUCGUUUUCCCGGGAGUCGGGUUGCUUGGGAGUGCAUCUCAAAUUUGGUGGUAAACUCCACCUAAAGCUAAAUAAGACCGAGAGACCGAUAGCAAACAAGUACCGUGAGGGAAAGUUGAAAAGCACUUUGAAGAGAGAGUUCAAGAGUACGUGAAACCGUUCGGAGGUAAACGGGUGGGGCUUCGAAAGCCAAAGUCUAUUCAAGCUUUUCUGGGCUGGAUCUAAAGCCUUAUCGCUCGACCAGAGGAUGAUGCCUUAUUUGAAGGUUCGGAUUGCUUCUUUUCGGCAGAUUGGACGCUGCAACUGGUUGGGAAGCUGUCGAAUGGUUGGAUUUGAAGGUGGCCAUUCUCUCUUCUGAGUUAGUGGUGUUUUAGCGCUUCAAAACCCGACCGUUGUCCGACCGUGGAAGAGUAUCUCUCGAGAACGCUCCAGACCGAGGUAUUUGGCUAUUAUUUGGAGAGUUACUAGUCCGAUUAUCCAUCCUUGGAUGCUAACGGUUCUUGUGGCGUAUCUUUAUUUUAGCCAGCAUUGGAGCUAGAGGUUAGCGGCGAGUAGGUCGGUCUCCCACCCGACCCGUCUUGAAACACGGACCAAGGAGUCCAAUGCGUGUGCAAGUUCCCGGGACUUGAAUAGGCCCGAGGGCGUAAUGAAAGUGAAACAUUUGGGAUCC